AGGGUUUGUGACAGACAGCAGAUGGCCAACAGGGAGAUUGGUGCCCAUGUAGCUGAUGCUACAGAUCCUGCACAGAUUAUAUUUGCUCGGUUCAGGCCACCAACACCACCUCCCAGGAGCACUAGCAAAUGGCACAAGAAGAGUCACCAGCAGAUUGGGUCCUUAUGACCUCUAGGAUCCUGUUAGAUACAAACCCACCUGGUGUCCAUAUUUGUUCCUGUUGGUUCCUCCAUCACCUGAUGUGACGCAAGUGUCCGGCCCCUGGUUGCUGAGAGUAACAGAUCAGUCUGUGACGGAAUAGUCACCCCAGGUACAGCGCCAGUGCCAGCCAGCAGCACACAGUAGCUCUGCAUCUGGUAUCGCAGAGGGCUCGGCCCAAUAGCAGACAAGUUGGCCAACUCAACACCAAGCACUGGGGCCAACUCAACACCAAGCACUGGGCACCGAUGGCACCUUCUGUAACAGACGAAAGAUUAAGAACUGAUAUUUAAUAUCUGAAUUAAUAAUAAUGAAUAAAUACAAGAUUUUGUAAAA